AUAUACUGCCAUAUCAUGCUGAGAGCACCGGUUCUUGUCCGAUCACCGAAGUUAAGCAACAUCGAGCUUAGUGAGUACUUAGAUGGGUGACCGCUUGGGAAACCUAGGUGCUGUAAGCA
rnacentral:rRNA from 1 species